GACGAACGCUGGCGGCGUGCUUAAUACAUGCAAGUCGAACGAGUGGCGAACGGGUGAGUAAUACGUGAGUAACCUGCCCUCUUUUUGGGAUAAGAUUUGGAAACGGGGUCUAAUACCGGAUAAAGGGCGUUGGGCUCGCGGCCUAUCAGCUUGUUGGUGGGGUGAUGGCCUACCAAGGCGGUGACGGGUAGCCGGCCUGACAGGGGGACCGGGGAUCUUGGGAAGGCGAGACGUCCCAGAGUCGUACGGGGGGGGGCAGUGGGGGAUAUGGGAGAAUGGGCGAAAGCCUGAUGCAGCGACGCCGAGUGGGGGUUGAAGUCUGUCGGGUUGUAAUCCACGUGAGCUAUCGAACGGGUAGGUGGAGAAGAAGCGCCGGCUAACUACGUGCCAGCAGCCGCGGUAAUAC
rnacentral:rRNA from 1 species